rnacentral:rRNA from 1 species
UACGGAGGGAGCUAGCGUUGUUCGGAAUCACUGGGCGUAAAGCGCACGUAGGCGGAUGUGUCAGUCAGGGGUGAAAUCCCGGAGCUCAACUUCGGAACUGCCUUUGAUACAGCACGUCUUGAGUCCGAUAGAGGUGGGUGGAAUUCCUAGUGUAGAGGUGAAAUUCGUAGAUAUUAGGAAGAACACCGGUGGCGAAGGCGGCCCACUGGGAUCGGUACUGACGCUGAGGUGCGAAAGCGUGGGGAGCAAACAGG